UAAACAGCUUGGAAUAUUUAGAGACAUAC
rnacentral:piRNA from 1 species